rnacentral:rRNA from 1 species
ACCGGCAGCUCAAGUGGUGGCCAUUUUUAUUGGGCCUAAAGCGUUCGUAGCCGGUUUGAUAAGUCUCUGGUGAAAUCCCGCAGCUUAACUGUGGGACUUGCUGGAGAUACUAUUAGACUUGAGGUCGGGAGAGGUUAGGGGUACUCCCAGGAAGGGGGUUAAAUCCUACAAUCCUGGCGGGAAGUACCGAGGGCCAGGCGCCUGAACCGGACGAACCUCACCUUGAGUACCGUAAGCCAGGAGCGCCAAUGG